CUCGGGAUCCAUGGAGUAGCGGGAGCUGAUGAAAAUCAUGCGUAGCAGUGGCUGUUGGUAUUAACUCUGUCUCUGUUGAUGGAGUGGGGCUGAGGUAGAUUGGGUUGGAGAGGGAUGCCAGGUUGAGGGCAAGAUUCGAAGCACCAGUAUUGCUUUGUGUAGUGAUGGCUCAUGCUUGGCUUUUGCAGCUGCUCUUCCAAAGCAAUUUUCCAGGAGUCCUAGACUGAGGAGAAAGUGGCAGAAGUGGACAUGAACAAUCCUCAGCUUUCUGACUCCCGCACAACUGGCUGCUCAUAUACACCCCUUGAACCAAAGGGACUUGCUCUUCACUGACUGACUAUGCCUGGCAGUGCAGGAAAUGGUCAACUGAAGGUAAUGUAUCUUUGGAAGAACUCAGGGUAAGUUUUUAAAGUGAAGAGGUCUGGUUAUGCUCGUGCUGGUUAAUCUUAAGUCUGUAUUAAUACUGUAGUUUAGUUAUAUUAGUAAAUUGUUGAAGUUGUUUAAAGAUUGUAAUAGUCAAUAGUUGAUCAAUAUAUAAUAACUGUAUAUGUUUUUGUGCCUUGCUGGGAAUGGGUACAGUGCUGGUGAACCUAGUAGCUUUGCAUGUCGCUGUGCCUGUCUUUUAUAUAAGUUACCAUCAUAAAAGUCAAUAAAUGCUUAUGAGUUGUUAUACAAAGUUAUAGGUAGGUUAAGGUUAGUAAAAUAUAGUUAGUCCAUGUAUUAAUAUUGCAUAUAGAAUUGUAUUUGUUGGGGUGGGUGCAGUACAUGUAAGGUUACUAGGCAAUCAGUAAUAGUAGCAUUGCAUGCGCUUGUAACUAUUUUCAAUAUUAUUUACCUUUUAUAUGUGCACUUAUAGGAAUAGGCAGUUAUUGCAUAAUAUUACUUGUACUUGUGCUUGUCUCCAGUAUAAUUUGCCAUUUGUAUUAAUCCUCACUCAGUGCUGGUCUUUAAUUCUGUUUUUCUUAUUCUAUCUGUGUUGCCUUUAUAGUCAUAAGUCAUUAAAAACCUUUCUGGAGGAAUAAUUAAUUGCUUAGUUUCUGUUUUGCAGACACUAUUCAGCCUCUUUACAUCUGUGUUGGGUGGUGGGAAGUAGCAAUCACCCAGAGCCCCACUAGGACCCUGACGUGAGCCCCCCUAGGGCUCUGACAUCUGCCUCCUCCUUCCAUUAAUCUCCACAAUAACUUUGUUUUUCCUUCUUGUGCUGGGUUUAGUACCCAGGGAAAAGAAAUCAAACGUCAGUCUACUGCCCUCGUGCGAUGUAAAGCGAGUGAGAGCAGUGAGCCCACGAGCAUGGUUGAUGCACGUGAGGAGCCAUCCAGUUGGCAGUGGAGCAGUUGCUGUGUCUGUGAGAUGAGUGUCUGGUUUGCCGGCACCAAGCAGAACCUGGCCACAGAGCACCACUACAGCGAUGGCUACAGCAGGUGUCCUAUAUGCCAGAGCUGCUC